ACCGAACCUAUAGUGGAGAAUUCGUACGGACUGCUCUCUGGUAUACAUUCCCCUUACUCCCUCUCCUCAAACAUUUUUUUUGAGGGGUUGAGGCCUGUAUGAGGCUUAACUGCCAUUUCUGGAGCAACCACCAGAUGGCAACAGACAAGGACUUAUUGUAGGAGAAAAGGAGUUUUGGGUUUCCCAGCAAGGGUUCCGGCUAUUGGUUCUUUACCAUGGCAGUGCCAGUACACAAUCGUUUCCAGGCUCUAGUUAACCUACAUGAUCAGGCAGGUAUGGUAAGACAGGUGAAUAAAUUGGCGGCCUUUAUUAAACCCUCCUCGCCCAACCAACAGACUCUGGCAAAGGCUAAAUCCAGUUAUGCGGCUGCAGUGACUAGCAAGUCACCGACUGGCAGGGCCUUAAUGGGAGCCAAGGCCCAUAGGGACUCUGGAAUAUGCAGGAAUACUCCAGGGGGAUCGAGUGACAACUCGGACCUGCAAAGAGUGGAGGGGCUAGCUUCAGACUUACCCCAACAAUCAAGAAGAGUAAGGAGAUAUUUAAUCCCCAAACUCAACGACCAAGAGAGAAUCUGGCCCCACCUAAAGUCCCAGCCUUGAUAAUCCCAGGUUCACAACAAGAUAACCAGCAGGGUACGGUAGCAAUGGAAAACGGAAAAGAAACGGAACCUGGGACAGAACUAAUACUGGAACCUGUAAAAAGGGAUACACUUUUUUAUCCCACAUGUCAUUCUAGAACUGAAAGGAAAAUAAAUGAUUGGAGUAUUGAGAUUACAAAACCCGUGGUUUUUAUUGGGGAUUCCAACCUUGCGCGCAUUCCUAGCUUUACGGACACUAACACACAGAUAGACAGCUUUCCGGGAGCAACCUUUAGACAUAUUGCAGGAGUGAUAGGCAAGUUGGGGAAACAGGA